UACGAAGGGGGCUAGCGUUGUUCGGAAUUACUGGGCGUAAAGCGCACGUAGGCGGAUAUUUAAGUCAGGGGUGAAAUCCCAGAGCUCAACUCUGGAACUGCCUUUGAUACUGGGGAUCUCGAGUCCGGGAGAGGUGAGUGGAACUGCGAGUGUAGAGGUGAAAUUCGUAGAUAUUCGCAAGAACACCAGUGGCGAAGGCGGCUCACUGGCCCGGUACUGACGCUGAGGUGCGAAAGCGUGGGGAGCAAACAGG
rnacentral:rRNA from 1 species